UAUAUAAUUAUAAUUAAUUUACAAUAUUGAUCGUAAAAAGUAUUUUGCUAUUGCUAUGUAAAUUAUGAUAAAAGAGUUGAUAGUUAUAAGACGAACCAAUUACUCAUAUGUACAUUUUUCGAAGUGUAUUUAUUUAUUAUGGUCAAAAUAAAUUGCACCGAAUGAAGGUAACUGUAAAAUGUUAUCAAACACUUGUUAAAUUGCAAAAUAUUUUGAUGAUAUAGCGAAAUUCCAGGAUUCAAUUGCAGAAAUGUUGAGGAAUGUGUAAAACAUGUUUUUGUGAGUGCAGUGACAAACGCACUUCGUGCACUUUUUCGCCUCGAUAGAAAGAGUUGUGGCUUCUCUCCCACUUGAGUCUAUUUUUGAGACGUCAACUUGCGUGAGUUGGUUGCAAAGUGGUGCCUAUGAUGGCUAUGGUGGCUCGGGAUUUCCAGCGGGACGCAGUUGGGUGCAAUUGGCAACUCCAUUGAGGCGUCUCCAUAUGCAUCUGCAUCUGCUUCAGCACCGGUUCUGUGGCAUUUUCCCAGGGCGACACACAAUCCAGUCCCUUCGGCAAUGCAACUGCCGCCCCAAAGUAUCUAAUUACAUUGUAUCGCAUUACGACCAACAACAAGGUUAUGAAAUCGCAAUUGCAAUUGCAAUUGCAACUAGCACAACGCCCACGACUUCUGAACACUGCCUUUGCUACGUCGGAGAUGGGGAAUUUGUCUGGAGAAUGCCAUAUUAUUUUUCUUAUCUUUCAAAGCAGAAGAAUUUCAUUUACGUUCUUCUUAUAACUUUUCCUUUUGAGAGACUUUUUUACGCAGAAUAACCUGAUUCCCUUUUAAAUUAGGGUACAGGUUGUUGAUUCUUGAGAUUAACAGCUGUAGAAGCUAUAGCUAUCAAUAAAUUUAAAGUGAUAUAAUGGCUGCAGCCCACUGUGCCUAGUUACGUGUGUGGUUGUAUUAACUUUGAUUGAGCCGGAGAGGCGUAGCGCGACUUUCCCCCCAAUUCGCCCACUUGAAAGUCCGAGAUCCACCCGGACUGGCUGACAAUUGCGGCCAGACACACGAAAAAGGCAAUUGCAGGCCCCCAUUUCGACCUUUUUGGAUGGGACAAACUCAGAUAGUUUGGCAAAUAGAUGUGCAUUUUCGUUGGCGAAAUUUCUGUGUGGGAAAUCACACCGCACGAAGCUGGAAAAUGUCGUUUUUAUGUUCCGAUGACGAGCGAAUACAUAUUGCACGGAGCGAUGACUCAAUAGUAGCGUCAAUAAAUAAAUAUUUAUGUGAAAACCGGCUUAUCAGCGUCUCAGCUGAGAGAUUGAGCGCACUUAAGUGCACACAAUAAGCGACUAAUUAUAAUAAAAAUGGCAUUAAUUGAUUA